rnacentral:rRNA from 1 species
GACGAACGCUGGCGGCGUGCUUAACACAUGCAAGUCGAACGGUGAAGCGCCUUCCUUUUUGGUGGGUGUGGAUGAGUGGCGAACGGGUGAGUAACACGUGAGUAACCUGCCCCCUUCUUCUGGAUAACCGCAUGAAAGUGUGGCUAAUACGGGAUAUUCUGGGUCUGUCGCAUGAUGGGUCUGGGAAAGAUAUUGUUUCGGUGGGGGAUGGGCUCGCGGCCUAUCAGCUUGUUGGUGGGGUGAUGGCCUACCAAGGCGGUGACGGGUAGCCGGCCUGGGAGGGUGGACGGUCACACUGGGACAGAGACACGGCCCAGACUCCUACGGGAGGCAGCAGUGGGGAAUAUUGCACAAUGGGCGAAAGCCUGAUGCAGCGACGCCGCGGGAGGGAUGGAGGCCUGCGGGUUGUGAACCUCUUUCGCCAGUGAAGCAGGCCUGCCUCGUUUGUGGGUGGGUUGACGGUAGCUGGAGAAGAAGCGCCGGCUAACUACGUG